rnacentral:rRNA from 1 species
UAGGGAAUCUUCCGCAAUGGACGAAAGUCUGACGGAGCAACGCCGCGUGAGUGAAGAAGGAUUUCGGUUCGUAAAACUCUGUUGUUAGGGAAGAAAAAAUGUAUAGUAACUAUAUACAAAAGAGACGGUACCUAACCAGAAAGCCACGGCUAACUACGUGCCAGCAGCCGCGGUAAUACGUAGGUGGCAAGCGUUGUCCGGAAUUAUUGGGCGUAAAGCGCGCGCAGGUGGUUUAGAAAGUCUGAUGUGAAAGCCCACGGCUCAACCGUGGAGGGUCAUUGGAAACUAAUAAACUUGAGUGCAGGAGAGAAAAGUGGAAUUCCUAGUGUAGCGGUGAACUGCGUAGAGAUUAGGAGGAACACCGGUGGCGAAAGCGGCUUUUUGGCCUGCAACUGACACUGAGGCGCGAAAGCGUGGGGAGCAAACAGG